UCCACUGUCUCCUGCAGAGCAUCUAUAAUGAUGCCAUUAUCUUAGCCCUUAUCUUAUCCUCUCUGUUGGUCACUCCAACCUUAUCUUCUUGAUCUGUCCAACUUUAUCCUCAAGCGAUGAGAAGAGUCAUUAUGUAUUGUUCUAUAAAUUGAAUCAAUGAGAAUGCAAUAUGAGAGCCCCUUUGUGAGCUUCUCCUCUGGUCCAUGUUUUUAACAUGGUAUCAGAGCCGAGAAGGUUCGGAGAUCUAAGGCUGAAGCCAUUGCACACGAUCACCCAAUGUUGGUGACCACUCAGUUGAGCAAAAUCAGGAGCGAUCGGAGAUAUAUUUGUCUCACUUGGUCAAGAGAGGAUACCUAGUCACAGAGGUGAACAAAAGGAACUGCAAUUCUGAAGCCACUGCUGAAGGAAGAAGUUGAUGAUGUGAUGCUCGGUGGAGGAAUACAAUUGGCAUCAUCGCAGCUGCCAAAGAAGAGAAGGCAGAUAGAUUCUGAUCUAUCAUGCCUCAAACUGAAGCCGUGGAGCUUGUCUAGCGUCUGUUUCUACUGCACACAUCUUAAAAUAAAACCUCCUAGCCAAAGGUUAAAGUCGCAGAAGCUUGAAGUGAUUGCUGAAUCGUUGGCAAAUGGAAAGAAGCCAAGCCGCAGCUGAUGAAAAUUGACAAGCCUCAGCAAAGGAGUAAGGCUGUCAUCACCAAAGUCUACCAAAGUGGAGGAAAUUGUUUGCAAAAUGGACGGUGAGAUGUCACCCUAGCCGCUGCCAAAAGAAAGGAGAUUGCAAGCCACGAAGAAGGCUUUGUUUUGCUUACCUGCCAAGAAGGUUCACACCUGCCGCAUCCUUUUCCUUUUUUUUUGGAUAACUAAAGAAGUGAAGCUAGGAGCUGAGUUAGAAAAGAAGGAGGCUGAUCGGAGGGAAGUUGAAUCUGCCAACAACGAUCUUAGAUCUGUGACCAUAGACCGCAUCACCUAGACUAGCUGCCAGCUAUAACAGUCAAAGAGAAAGUGUUUGGAUCAGAGUUGAGAGGAUUUGCACAAGUUUGAGGCGAGUUAAAAGAUUAAAUCCUAGGGGAAGAAAGAAGAAGACUAAAGGAAAAGAGGUAAAACAAAGAUUAUCUAUAGCAUUGAGAUGUAAAUGGGCUUAAGCAAUAGAAUUGUACUUUUUGUGCAAA